UACGUAGGGGGCUAGCGUUGUCCGGAAUCAUUGGGCGUAAAGAGCGUGUAGGCGGCUCGGUAAGUCCGCUGUGAAAGUCGGGGGCUCAACCCUCGAAUGCCGAUGGAUACUGUCGAGCUAGAGUGCGGAAGAGGCGAGUGGAAUUCCUGGUGUAGCGGUGAAAUGCGCAGAUAUCAGGAGGAACACCGAUUGCGAAGGCCGCUCGCUGGGACGUUACUGACGCUGAGACGCGAAAGCGUGGGGAGCAAACAGG
rnacentral:rRNA from 1 species